UACGUAGGGGGCAAGCGUUGUCCGGAUUUAUUGGGCGUAAAGAGCGCGUAGGCGGAACGUUAAGCGGGGCCGGAAAGCCCCCGGCUCAACCGGGGAAGGGGCCGCGAACUGGCGUUCUUGAGGGGGAGAGAGGAGAGCGGAAUUCCUGGUGUAGCGGUGAAAUGCGUAGAUAUCUGGAGGAACACCGGUGGCGAAGGCGGCAUCCUGGACCGACACUGACGCUGAGGAGCGAAAGCCAGGGGAGCAAACGGG
rnacentral:rRNA from 1 species